UGCGUAGGCGGGUCUUUAAGUCAGGGGUGAAAUCCUGGAGCUCAACUCCAGAACUGCCUUUGAUACUGAAGAUCUUGAGUUCGGGAGAGGUGAGUGGAACUGCGAGUGUAGAGGUGAAAUUCGUAGAUAUUCGCAAGAACACCAGUGGCGAAGGCGGCUCACUGGCCCGAUACUGACGCUGAGGCACGAAAAGCUGGGGGAGCAAACA
rnacentral:rRNA from 1 species